rnacentral:rRNA from 1 species
CCUACGGGGUGCUGCAGUAGGGAAUCUUGCGCAAUGGGCGAAAGCCUGACGCAGCAACGCCGCGUGAACGAGACGCCCUUCGGGGUGUAAAGUUCUGUCAGUGGGGACGAAAAAUGACGGUACCCACAGAGGAAGCACCGGCUAAGUCCGUGCAAGCAGCAGAGGUAAGACGGAGGGUGCAAGCGUUGUCCGGAACCAUUGGGCGUAAGGAGUGCGUAGGUGGCAGGUAAAGUCAGGUGUUAAAGGCGCAGGCUCAACCUGUGUAUGGCACUUGAUACUUGCAAGCGGGAAUGCGGUAGAGGUAAAGGGAAUUCCUGGUGUAGCGGUGAAAUGCUUAGAUAUCAGGAGGAACAUCGGUGGCGUAAGCGCUUUACUGGGCCGUAACUGACGCUGAGGAACGAAAGCCAGGGUAGCAAAUGGGAUUAGAUACCCCAGUAGUC